AAAUUGAAGAGUUUGAUCAUGGCUCAGAUUGAACGCUGGCGGCGGGCCUAACACAUGCAAGUCGAACGGUAACAGGAAGCAGCUUGCUGCUUCGCUGACGAGUGGCGGACGGGUGAGUAAUGUCUGGGAAACUGCCUGAUGGAGGGGGAUAACUACUGGAAACGGUAGCUAAUACCGCAUAACGUCGCAAGACCAAAGAGGGGGACCUUCGGGCCUCUUGCCAUCGGAUGUGCCCAGAUGGGAUUAGCUUGUUGGUGGGGUAACGGCUCACCAAGGCGACGAUCCCUAGCUGGUCUGAGAGGA
rnacentral:rRNA from 1 species